GACAGAGGGUGCAAACGUUGUUCGGAAUCACUGGGCUUAAAGCGUGUGUAGGCGGAAUGGUAAGUACCUUGUGAAAUCCCACGGCUCAACCGUGGAACUGCUUGGUAUACUGCUUUUUCUUGAGCCACUUAGGGGGCAACCGGAACAAACGGUGGAGCGGUGAAAUGCGUAGAUAUCGUUUUUGGAACGCCAAUGGUGAAAACAGGUUGCUGGGAGUGUGCUGACGCUGAGACACGAAAGCCAGGGGGAGCAAACGGG
rnacentral:rRNA from 1 species